rnacentral:rRNA from 1 species
CUGGCUCAGGAUGAACGCUGGCGGCGUGCCUAACACAUGCAAGUCGAACGGGGUUAAGGGAGAUUUUCGGAUGGACCUUAACUUAGUGGCGGACGGGUGAGUAACGCGUGGAUAACCUGCCUCACACUGGGGGAUAGCAGCUGGAAACGGCUGGUAAUACCGCAUAAGACCACAGCACCGCAUGGUGCAGGGGUAAAAGAUUUUAUCGGUGUGAGAUGGAUCCGCGUCUGAUUAGCCAGUUGGCGGGGUAACGGCCCACCAAAGCGACGAUCAGUAGCCGGCCUGAGAGGGUGAACGGCCACAUUGGGACUGAGACACGGCCCAAACUCCUACGGGAGGCAGCAGUGGGGAAUAUUGCACAAUGGGCGCAAGCCUGAUGCAGCCAACGCCGCGUGAGUGAAGAAGUAUUUCGGUAUGUAAAGCUCUAUCGGCAGGGAAGAAAGGCCCUUAACAGGGAGAUGACGGUACCUGACUAAGAAGCCCCGGCUAACUACGUGCCAGCCGCCGC